rnacentral:rRNA from 1 species
GACGAACGCUGGCGGCGUGCCUAAUACAUGCAAGUCGAGCGAAGUUUUUCUGGUGCUUGCACUAGAAAAACUCAGCGGCGAACGGGUGAGUAACACGUAAAGAACCUGCCUCAUAGACGGGGACAACUAUUGGAAACGAUAGCUAAUACCGGAUAACAGCAUAAAUCGCAUGAUAUAUGUUUGAAAGUUGGUUUCGGCUAACACUAUGAGAUGGCUUUGCGGUGCAUUAGCUAGUUGGUGGGGUAAAGGCCUACCAAGGCGACGAUGCAUAGCCGACCUGAGAGGGUGAUCGGCCACACUGGGACUGAGACACGGCCCAGACUCCUACGGGAGGCAGCAGUAGGGAAUCUUCCGCAAUGGGCGAAAGCCUGACGGAGCAACGCCGCGUGAGUGAAGAAGGAUUUCGGUUCGUAAAGCUCUGUUGUUAGGGAAGAAUGAUUGUAUAGUAACUAUAUACAGUAGAGACGGUACCUAACCAGAAAGCCACGGCUAACUACGUGCCAGCAGCCGCGGUAAUACGUAGGUGGCAAGCGUUGUCCGGAAUUAUUGGGCGUAAAGCGCGCGCAGGUGGUUUAAUAAGUCUGAUGUGAAAGCCCACGGCUCAACCGUGGAGGGUCAUUGGAAACUGUUAAACUUGAGUGCAGGAGAGAAAAGUGGAAUUCCUGGUGUAGCGGUGAAAUGCGUAGAGAUUAGGAGGAACACCAGUGGCGAAGGCGGCUUUUUGGCCUGUAACUGACACUGAGGCGCGAAAGCGUGGGGAGCAAACAGG